UAUGGUUGUUUCUCGCCAUACUGGCUAGGGACGAGCCAUUGGUUGAUACUAUCCAAUGGUUAUGUGUAUUUGGUGUCACGUGGUCGUGAGUCAGGUCCGUGCAGCGCUGAGUGUAGACAGUGACACAACACGUUAUAUACUUACGACUUGCAGUUGCCUUUUCCUUUUCCUGAGCUUUCGUUAUCUUCAGACUUCCUUUUGGCACUUACAGGAUGAAGCCCACGCACAUGUAAUAGUGUUAUCAUCCUAUACGGUUCAUCGCCCACAGCGAAGGUGCAAAUGUGGAAAAUGUCUGUAGCUAUGGCUUCUUCGAUGUCUGGUCGCUUAAAGUUGGAACAUAGAAAGCUGGGAAUGUUAAGAGUCCAAGAUGGAGGAAAGUGUUGCUGGAUUUGAUAGCAUCAGUUUGUCAGUGAAAUAACAAGCAAUGAAACCUACAUGAUUAAUAAAGAUACAUGUAUUGUAUAUGUACAUACAUGAUUUUGUGUCCAUU